UACGGAGGGUCCGAGCGUUAUCGGGAAUCAUUGGGUUUAAAGGGUCCGUAGGCGGGAAUCUAAGUCAGUGGUGAAAUCUUGCAGCUCAACUGUAAAAUUGCCAUUGAUACUGGAUUUCUUGAAUUAGUGUGAAGUGGUUAGAAUGUGUAGUGUAGCGGUGAAAUGCAUAGAUAUUACACAGAAUACCAAUUGCGAAGGCAGAUCACUAACACUAUAUUGACGCUAAGGGACGAAAGCGUGGGGAGCGAACAGGAUUAGAAACCCUAGUAGUCC
rnacentral:rRNA from 1 species